GAUGAACGCUGGCGGCGUGCCUAAUACAUGCAAGUCGAGCGAACAGAUGAGGAGCUUGCUCCUCUGGCGUUAGCGGCGGACGGGUGAGUAACACGUGGAUAACCUACCUAUAAGACUGGGAUAACUUCGGGAAACCGGAGCUAAUACCGGAUAAUAUAUUGAACCGCAUGGUUCAAUAGUGAAAGACGGUGUUGCUGUCACUUAUAGAUGGAUCCGCGCGGCAUUGGCUAGUUGUUAAGGUGACGGCUUACCAAGGCAACGAUGCGUAGCCGACCUGAGGGAGUGAUCGGCCACACUGGAACUGAGACACGGUCCAGACUCCUACGGGAGGCAGCAGUAGGGAAUCGGAGGCAGUGGGCGAAAGCAUGACGGAGCAACGCCGAGUGAGUGAUAGAGGUCUUCGGAUCGUAAAACUCUGUUAUUAGGGAAGAACAACUGUGUAAGUAACUAUGCACGUCUUGACGGUACCUAAUCAGAAAGCCACGGCUAACUACGUG
rnacentral:rRNA from 1 species